CCUACGGGCGGCAGCAGUGGGGAAUAUUGGACAAUGGGGGGAACCCUGAUCCAGCCAUGCCGCGUGUGUGAAGAAGGCCCUCGGGUUGUAAAGCACUUUCAGUGAGGAAGAACGCCUGGUGGUUAAUACCCAUCAGGAAAGACAUCACUCACAGAAGAAGCACCGGCUAACUCCGUGCCAGCAGCCGCGGUAAUACGGAGGGUGCGAGCGUUAAUCGGAAUUACUGGGCGUAAAGCGCGCAUAGGUGGCUUGAUAAGCCGGUUGUGAAAGCCCCGGGCUCAACCUGGGAACGGCAUCCGGAACUGUCAAGCUAGAGUGCAGGAGAGGAAGGUAGAAUUCCCGGUGUAGCGGUGAAAUGCGUAGAGAUCGGGAGGAAUACCAGUGGCGAAGGCGGCCUUCUGGACUGACACUGACACUGAGGUGCGAAAGCGUGGGUAGCAAACAGGAUUAGAUACCCCUGUAGUC
rnacentral:rRNA from 1 species